rnacentral:rRNA from 4 species
UCGAACGAUGAAGCCCUUCGGGGUGGAUUAGUGGCGAACGGGUGAGUAACACGUGGGCAAUCUGCCCUUCACUCUGGGACAAGCCCUGGAAACGGGGUCUAAUACCGGAUACCACUCCUGCCUGCAUGGGCGGGGGUUGAAAGCUCCGGCGGUGAAGGAUGAGCCCGCGGCCUAUCAGCUUGUUGGUGGGGUAAUGGCCCACCAAGGCGACGACGGGUAGCCGGCCUGAGAGGGCGACCGGCCACACUGGGACUGAGACACGGCCCAGACUCCUACGGGAGGCAGCAGUGGGGAAUAUUGCACAAUGGGCGAAAGCCUGAUGCAGCGACGCCGCGUGAGGGAUGACGGCCUUCGGGUUGUAAACCUCUUUCAGCAGGGAAGAAGCGAAAGUGACGGUACCUGCAGAAGAAGCGCCGGCUAACUACGUGCCAGCAGCCGCGGUAAUACGUAGGGCGCAAGCGUUGUCCGGAAUUAUUGGGCGUAAAGAGCUCGUAGGCGGCUUGUCACGUCGGAUGUGAAAGCCCGAGGCUUAACCUCGGGUCUGCAUUCGAUACGGGCUAGCUAGAGUGUGGUAGGGGAGAUCGGAAUUCCUGGUGUAGCGGUGAAAUGCGCAGAUAUCAGGAGGAACACCGGUGGCGAAGGCGGAUCUCUGGGCCAUUACUGACGCUGAGGAGCGAAAGCGUGGGGAGCGAACAGGAU